GUGGGCAUAGCUCAGUGGUAGAAUGCAUAUUUAGCAUGCAUAAGAUCCUGGGUUCAAUCCCCAGUACCUCCA
rnacentral:tRNA from 1 species